ACGGUCAUUCCAUGCAGAAUAUACCGGUUCUCGUUAGAUCACCGAAGUCAAGCAUCAUUGGGCGCGGUCAGUACUUGGGUGGGUGACCACCUGGGAACACCGCGUGCCGUU
rnacentral:rRNA from 1 species